AGAGUUUGAUCCUGGCUCAGAUUGAACGCUGGCGGAAUGCUUUACACAUGCAAGUCGAACGGCAGCAUAGGUGCUUGCACCUGAUGGCGAGUGGCGAACGGGUGAGUAAUACAUCGGAACGUGCCCAGUCGUGGGGGAUAACGUAGCGAAAGUUACGCUAAUACCGCAUACGAUCUACGGAUGAAAGCGGGGGACCGUAAGGCCUCGCGCGAUUGGAGCGGCCGAUGUUAGAUUAGGUAGUUGGUGGGGUAAAGGCUCACCAAGCCGACGAUCUAUAGCUGGUCUGAGAGGAUGAUCAGCCACACUGGGACUGAGACACGGCCCAGACUCCUACGGGAGGCAGCAGUGGGGAAUUUUGGACAAUGGGCGCAAGCCUGAUCCAGCCAUUCCGCGUGCAGGACGAAGGCCUUCGGGUUGUAAACUGCUUUUGUACAGAACGAAAAGCCUUGGGUUAAUACCCUGGGGUCAUGACGGUACUGUAAGAAUAAGCACCGGCUAACUACGUGCCAGCAGCCGCGGUAAU
rnacentral:rRNA from 1 species